CAGUCGAGCGGACUUGUUAGAAGCUUGCUUCUAUCAAGUUAGCGGCGGACGGGUGAGUAACACGUGGGUAACCUGCCUGUAAGAUGGGGAUAACUCCGGGAAACCGGAGCUAAUACCGAAUAACACUUUCGCUCGCAUGAGCGGAUGUUAAAAGACGGUUUCGGCUGUCACUUACAGAUGGACCCGCGGCGCAUUAGCUAGUUGGUGAGGUAACGGCUCACCAAGGCGACGAUGCGUAGCCGACCUGAGAGGGUGAUCGGCCACACUGGGACUGAGACACGGCCCAGACUCCUACGGGAGGCAGCAGUAGGGAAUCUUCCGCAAUGGACGAAAGUCUGACGGAGCAACGCCGCGUGAGUGAUGAAGGUUUUCGGAUCGUAAAACUCUGUUGUUAGGGAAGAACAAGUAUGAGAGUAACUGCUCGUACCUUGACGGUACCUAACCAGAAAGCCACGGCUAACUACGUGCCAGCAGCCGCGGUAAUACGUAGGUGGCAAGCGUUGUCCGGAAUUAUUGGGCGUAAAGCGCGCGCAGGCGGUUCCUUAAGUCUGAUGUGAAAGCCCACGGCUCAACCGUGGAGGGUCAUUGGAAACUGGGGAACUUGAGUGCAGAAGAGGAAAGCGGAAUUCCACGUGUAGCGGUGAAAUGCGUAGAGAUGUGGAGGAACACCAGUGGCGAAGGCGGCUUUCUGGUCUGUAACUGACGCUGAGGCGCG
rnacentral:rRNA from 2 species